ACGUAGGGUGCGGGCGUUAAUCGGAAUUACUGGGCGUAAAGCGUGCGCAGGCGGAUUGUUAAGCAAGACGUGAAAUCCCCGGGCUUAACCUGGGAAUGGCGUUUUGAACUGGCAGUCUAGAGUGCGUCAGAGGGGGGUGGAAUUCCACGUGUAGCGGUGAAAUGCGUAGAUAUGUGGAGGAACACCGAUGGCGAAGGCAGCCGCCUGGGCUGACACUGACGCUGAUGUUCGAAAGUGUGGGUAGCAAACAG
rnacentral:rRNA from 1 species